rnacentral:rRNA from 1 species
GAUGAACGCUGGCGGCGUGCCUAAUACAUGCAAGUCGAGCGAACAGACGAGGAGCUUGCUCCUCUGACGUUAGCGGCGGACGGGUGAGUAACACGUGGAUAACCUACCUAUAAGACUGGGAUAACUUCGGGAAACCGGAGCUAAUACCGGAUAAUAUAUUGAACCGCAUGGUUCAAUAGUGAAAGACGGUUUUGCUGUCACUUAUAGAUGGAUCCGCGCCGCAUUAGCUAGUUGGGAAGGUAACGGCUUACCAAGGCAACGAUGCGUAGCCGACCUGAGAGGGUGAUCGGCCACACUGGGACUGAGACACGGUCCAGACUCCUACGGGAGGCAGCAGUAGGGAAUCUUCCGCAAUGGGCGAAAGCCUGACGGAGCAACGCCGCGUGAGUGAUGAAGGUCUUCGGCUCGUAAAACUCUGUUAUUAGGGAAGAACAAAUGUGUAAGUAACUAUGCACGUCUUGACGGUACCUAAUCAGAAAGCCACGGCUAACUACGUG